CCCGUUUGCUUCCAUCUCCGCCGUCUCCUCGGUCUCCCCUCCCACCCCUCUACCCCUCCUCCGCCAGCCGCGUCCUCCCGGGCUCGGAGAGGAACUGUUCCUGGAGGAGCCGCGGGACGUCGAAACCAACCAAUGAGAAGAGGCGAGACGCGGAGAUUGGCACUGUGGAUGGGAAGCAUGAAUUACAAACCUCCUCCAUCUGCCACUGGAGACACAGAGAUUAACGUUCUAAUGGGAAGAUGGUCAACAAAAGAGCUACUUGUAGCAUAGGUGAUAAAGACCACUCUGAAGCUUGGGGACUAAGUACCAGGACACGGUGAAGUUUAUUUCAGUGAGGAAAAGUGCAAUGGACUUUGGCAGAUAAGUUGCUCUGUCAUACAAGCUGAACUGGUGGCACCAUCUACCCAAAGCCUUCGUGAUUCAGUGGAGUUCUCACAUGAGCUUCUCAGGAACAAGUUCUUUUGAGAGAAGAGAGACAGAGAAAUGAGUCCUAGCUCCUCAUUCUUUUACUUUUAUUCUGGUAUCAGGCCAGUGCCAAGAGAGGCAGAAAAGUUGGACACUGAAAGGCUGGAAAACUUGCCAGAGUGAAGCUGAGGAGGCAAGAAAGGUGAUUUCUCUUCUGCAAAGCCCCCUGUGCCGGCAUCAUGAUACCAUGCACUUUCGUCAACUGUGAUGUCCAGACCCCUUCUGUGAGGGAGCCUGUGUGUCAUCCAAGCCCUACCUGUGUGCAUCAAUUACGCGAAGUCCUUCCAGCCACCCUGACCACUGAUGAAAGUACUAUGUUCAGAGCUGACUCUUCUAUUCGAGCAGAAAACGCUUCUCCAUCACUUCCAGGGAGCAGAAAUUUCCCUACAGAAAUUGUUUUGUACUUGCUGAGAAAGCCUUAUAAUUUUCACGAUAACUUAUCCUCCUAUGAAAACUACCUUUCUUCAAUACAACCAAGAAUAUUAAUCCUCCUCAAUACAUUUUUGUUCUAACAAGAGAGUGCGGUUCUCUGUGUAUUGCACUGGGACUGUGAGGUGGUGCUGGGCAUGGGAGUGGGGACUCUUGCUUUGGAAAAGGAAGGAGAGAGUUCUGCUCUUACUGAUUUCCUCUUUGGGUUUCUCAAUCCAAAGAAAGAAGCCUGACAGUGGCCUUCUCAGUUUUAUCCUGGGGCCCUUUAUUUGACCCUGCUCAGGUGUCCUGAAUUUUUUUUCAUAAAAAGUACAAAAGGCUUACUCUGAAAAUGUUCAGGCCUUCACCAAGUGAGAAAACCCCUUAAAGUCUACACCUUGGCUCCACCUGUUUGUUCAUCUGCUCCCAAAGUAUCCUGACAUAUAUAUAGCUGUAGGGUGCGAUGAGGUACUAUGGCAUGUAGGCAUCACCUCCUGGAGACUACUCAGGGCUUAUGAGAGCACAGGGAUACCAUUUUGGCCUGAGAGAACACAAGAUCGUCUUUGAGCAUGAAGACAGCACCUCCAGGAUGUUGUCAGGGAAGCUGUGCUCCUAUAUGGUGCCUGCUUUCCCAGACAUGCUACAUUUUACACCAAAGUGACAGUAAUUUAGAGGUGCAUUAGUUAUGAAUUGCUGUGUAAUGGAUAUCCCAAAAUUUAGUGGCUUAAAAAUACAUAUUUAUCAUCUGACAAUUUUUGUGGGUCAGAAUCUCAGGCUAGGCCUAUCUGGAUUUUCUGCUUCAGGGUCUCAGAAGGCUGUAAUUAACAUGUCAGCUGAGGCUAGGUUCUCAUGUGAAGGCGUGACUGGGGAAGAACCCACUUCUGUAUUCACUUACAGUUGUUGGCAGGAUGCAUGCCUCAAAGCCAGUUGGACUGAGAUCCUCAAUACGUUGUUGGCCCUUGGUGGGAGUUGGCUAGUUCCUUGUCAUGUAGGCUUUUCCAACAUGGCAACUUACUUUAUGAAGGUUGGGAAAGUGUUUGUAAACAAGACAGAAGUUAUAAUCUUUUAUAAACUAAUAAUGAA